rnacentral:rRNA from 1 species
AGUUUGCUUCUGGCUCAGGAUGAACGCUAGCGGCAGGCUUAACACAUGCAAGUCGAGGGGCAGCGGGGAGGUAGCUUGCUUUCUCCGCCGGCGACCGGCGCACGGGUGAGUAACACGUAUGCAACCUGCCCCUGUCAGGGGGACAACCCGCCGAAAGGCGGGCUAAACCCGCGUACAUGCCACCGGGGCAUCCCGGAGGCAGGAAAGGCUUCGGCCGGACAGGGAUGGGCAUGCGGCGCAUUAGGCAGUAGGCGGGGUAACGGCCCACCUAACCGACGAUGCGUAGGGGUUCUGAGAGGAAGGUCCCCCACACUGGUACUGAGACACGGACCAGACUCCUACGGGAGGCAGCAGUGAGGAAUAUUGGUCAAUGGUCGGGAGACUGAACCAGCCAAGCCGCGUGAGGGAGGAAGGUACAGAGUAUCGUAAACCUCUUUUGUCAGGGAACAAAGGCGGGGACGUGUCCCCGGAUGAGUGUACCUGAAGAAAAAGCAUCGGCUAACUCCGUGCCAGCAGCCGCGGUAAUACGGAGGAUGCGAGCGUUAUCCGGAUUUAUUGGGUUUAAAGGGUGCGUAGGCGGGGAGCCAAGUCAGCGGUAAAAUCGUGGGGCUCAACCCCAUCCCGCCGUUGAAACUGGUUUUCUUGAGUGGAUGAGAAGUAUGCGGAAUGCGUGGUGUAGCGGUGAAAUGCAUAGAUAUCACGCAGAACUCCGAUUGCGAAGGCAGCAUACCGGCAUCCAACUGACGCUGAAGCACGAAGGCGUGGGUAUCAAACAAAGUUAGAUACCCUGGUAGUCCACGCAGUAAACGACCAUAAUGGUUGUCCGGGGCGAGUGAGCUCUGGGUGAUACAGCGAAAGCGUUAAGCAUUUCAUCUGGAGAGUAGGCGGGCAUCGGUGAAAAUCAAAGGAACUGACCGGGGCCCGCACUAGCGGCGGUACAUGUGCUUUAAUUUGACAAGAUGUGUGGAACGUUAUCCCGGAUCUAAGGUAACAGGAAUAAUUGAGAAAUCAGUUAGUUCUUCGGAACUUGCUGCAAGGUGAUGCAUGGUUGUAGUCAGUUAGUGCGGGGAGGAGUGGAAGUAAGCGCCAUAAGGAGCGCACCUCUCGCGGGCAGUUGGUAACAGAUAAAAUGGAGGAGUCUGCACAGAUUUCCGGCGCAAACCGCGAGCAAGGAGGGGAAGACAUCAAAUCAGCGCGAGCUCUAUGUCUGGGCAGACACAGGUGUUCCAAUGGGUGGUACAGCGGGAAGCCAGGCGGGGACGCCGAGCGGAACCCGAAAUCCACUAUCAGUUAGGAUCGGAGUCUACAACCCCACUCCGUGAAGCUGGAUUCGCUAGUAAUCGAACAUCAGCCACGGCGCGGGGAAUACGUUCCCGGGCCUUGCACACGCCGCCCGUCAAG